rnacentral:rRNA from 1 species
UUAUACGAUAUAUCAGGUGUAGAAGUAGGCCAACACUUCUAUUGGCAAAUAGGAGGUUUCCAAAUUCAUGCCCAAGUACUCAUCACUUCUUGGGUUGUAAUUACUAUCUUGCUAGGUUCAGUUAUCAUAGCUGUUCGUAAUCCACAAACCAUCCCGACCGACGGUCAGAAUUUCUUCGAAUAUGUCCUUGAGUUUAUUUGAGACUUGAGAAAAACGCUUUUCCUUUGCUUUUAUUUCUUGUGUAGGCUAUCGAUUCCUAAACCAAGCCGGUGA